UCCAAUAUCACCGCGGAGACUGUCG
rnacentral:ncRNA from 2 species